UACGGAGGGUGCAAGCGUUAUCCGGAUUCACUGGGUUUAAAGGGUGCGUAGGUGGGCUUGUAAGUCAGUGGUGAAAUCUCCGAGCUUAACUUGGAAACUGCCAUUGAUACUAUAAGUCUUGAAUAUUGUGGAGGUCAGCGGAAUAUGUCAUGUAGCGGUGAAAUGCUUAGAUAUGACAUAGAACACCAAUUGCGAAGGCAGCUGGCUACGCAUAUAUUGACACUGAGGCACGAAAGCGUGGGAUCAAACAGG
rnacentral:rRNA from 1 species